UCAGACUGUGGAUAUAUAUUUCCCCGAUGGCUAAGAAACAUCAGAAGCUAAAUUUACUUGCAUCACUGUGGAAGUUGCAGCUACCUAACUAUUGUCUACAUCUCUCUCAGCAUGCAUAAGAAAAUCAUAGACACGAUAGAUGGAAUUUUGUUGUGUAAAGCGAAAACAAUUUGCAACGUUCUGCGUAAGGGGAAUAAAAGUAAACUGCUGGAAAUAAAAUAUCAGAAAAUAUCUUCAGUCGUCAUAGUUUUUUGCAAAGGGAUACAAAUUAAGAAUGUCGUUGGAUUCAUCAAAAUGCUGGCUGUCGAACAUUACUUAGAACAAUGGAUAUCCACAAAAUAACUUGCUGAUAUUUAGCACAGUGCAGUAAAU